UCUUGAAAUCCAUGAAGUCCAUGAAAUUGGAAUGAUGCAUGACCCCUGCACAAGGAUGACAUGCAAGUUUGUGAAGUGUUCCGUAUUUUU
rnacentral:snRNA from 1 species